GAGAGAUAUAUAUAUAUAUAUAUAUAUACAAAUGAGUGAAACAAGUUCAUCUCAGAGGAGGAUAAAUACCUAUUUUUGACAAUGACUUGUAGAGCGUGGGAAAAAUCUGUCUCAGAACAAUUUGGUGAGGACAUUUCUUCUUUUUGUUUCUUUCUUCCUUUGUUCAUUCUUCCUUCCUUUCUUCAGUCAGCUAAUGAAGUCAAUAACACUAGUUCAAGACAUAUCACAGUCUUUAGUUUGUACACUACUUGCCUCAAGAAUACUCUCAAAAUAUAUGUAUCGUCUCUUGGGGCAAGAAUGGUACAUUCAUCUGGCACUUAAGCAUAUGGCUUCAGAUUCAUCUUAUCUAUAGCCAUCCAACUUUCUCUCUCUUGAUUUCUUCUGGAGAUGAUCUAUAUGAUUUGCUUGUUGGGAAUCUAGCGAUCAACUGUGGAGUGGAUCUCAGACAUGUUUUUUCUGUACAACAACUUUUGAGCAACUCUCAGAGAAAAGACAUUUUUCCCCGUUCCUUCCCCAGUUGCAUUCCUUAUUUCUUCUGUUUCCACCCACCUGCAUGUUAUCAGAUUCUUCUCUUAUCAUAACAUAAUGUAUAAAUGUUUAUUUUUCUAUCUUAAAUUAUAGAGGAC
rnacentral:lncRNA from 1 species